rnacentral:rRNA from 1 species
AAAUACGGAGGAAAAGAAACCAACUGGGAUUACCUUAGUAACGGCGAGUGAAGCGGUAAAAGCUCAAAUUUGAAAUCUGGUACUUUCAGUGCCCGAGUUGUAAUUUGUAGAAUUUGUCUUUGAUUAGGUCCUUGUCUAUGUUCCUUGGAACAGGACGUCAUAGAGGGUGAGAAUCCCGUUUGGCGAGGAUACCUUUUCUCUGUAAGACUUUUUCGAAGAGUCGAGUUGUUUGGGAAUGCAGCUCAAAGUGGGUGGUAAAUUCCAUCUAAAGCUAAAUAUUGGCGAGAGACCGAUAGCGAACAAGUACAGUGAUGGAAAGAUGAAAAGAACUUUGAAAAGAGAGUGAAAAAGUACGUGAAAUUGUUGAAAGGGAAGGGCAUUUGAUCAGACAUGGUGUUUUUUGCAUGCACUCGCCUCUCGUGGGCUUGGGCCUCUCAAAAAUUUCACUGGGCCAACAUCAAUUCUGGCAGCAGGAUAAAUCAUUAAGAAUGUAGCUACUUCGGUAGUGUUAUAGCUUUUUGGAAUACUGUUAGCCGGGAUUGAGGACUGCGCUUCGGCAAGGAUGUUGGCAUAAUGGUUAAAUGCCGCCCGUCUUGAACACCGGACACCA